ensembl:lncRNA
ACAUUUCUCCUAAGCAAUAUGAUGUUGGCACUUGAAAGCUUUUCAAAAUUUUGUUGUAACUAUUAAAUUCGAUCUCCCCUUCUCUCCCUGCCAAGGCAAAGGAAACCUCCUGAGGAUUGCAAUUAGCUUCAGCCUCUACCGACUUCAAGGAGCUGCUGCAAAAAUAGGGACAACCAAAAGAAACAGGAUUGUUGUGGAUUUGUCCUGCCAGGGAGAUAGAACCACCAAGGGAAUCAACCUAUGGCAGAGGAAAAGACAACAUCCCCUCAAAUUCUCCCUUCCAGUAUGUUCUAAGAAUGCAAGCAAUGAACCUCAAAAUGAAGAGAUCCAGAAUAUUAAACGGAUUUUUAAACAGAAUUGUUCCAUUAUAAUAUAUUGACAAGAUGGAGCCACCCAUAGUGGUCCCAAUGAGAGACAGUAGUAUCAUUAGCAACCCCAGGCAGAAGCAGCAGAGAGAAGACUGAAAUGGAGAUACACAUGAGUACGACGUUUCAAACUUAUGUUUGAAUGACUACACCACUCCCUUUACUAUCCCAGAGUCCUCUGAGUGAAGCUAUGCAAAGAAAAGGAGAAGGAAUGCUGAAUCUUCCUCCUCACUCCCCAGUAUUAGGGGGAAAAAACCAGUGAAAUCCUAGGAAUUGCUGUAUUUGCACACUGGUGAUUCAUUCUUGUGCUAGACUUUUUCCAUUGUAACAAAGAACCUGAGAUAAUAAGCUAUAGGGAGAAACCUUUAGUUUGGGUCAUCCUUUCAGAGCUGUCUGCUCAUCAUUAGUUGGAUCCAUUUUUUCUGGACAAGACAGAACAUCAUGGUGGACAGAUAUAAUAAGGCAAACCUAGUCACCACUUCCAAUAGCAUCAUCAGCUGGGGACCAAGAUUUCAGCUCAUGCACCUUUGGAGGACAUUCUAGGCACAAAACCCAUCCACAAUGAAACCUACUUGUAAUGAAACCUGCAUCAGUAAUAAUUGUGUCUGUAAAAAUAAUAGUAAUAACCGUGUCUAUAAAAAAUAGUAAUAAU